UGAAAGAAAACAUGAAACUUGCACUAUUUUCCGGACAACCCAAAAAAACCUUUCUUAAUUCUAUUAUAAACUAUUGAAAAAGCAGUUGGAUAGAGCUAGCUACAGUUUUGACUCUUCUCGCUGAUGACCAGACGUUAAUAUUAGGACAGUUAGACAGCAAAUGCAAGCGGCCCAUAGUUUUUCAGGUGCGACUAGGUUUGUCAGCACCAGUAUUGAAGUUGCCAAGGCCAGAAGAAGCCAAAUGAGACCAGUAAAGCGAGAACAGGCAGACUAAGAUAAUCAUCAACAACUACAUACUACGUCAUCAUAGGCGUACCCGCAACAUUGUAAAGAUUUUGUAUUCAGGGCUGCUUCGAAAUAUUUACAUCUUAACCAUGGUUAAUAAAAAAGUAACCUACAUCAUACUAGUUUAUUAGUUUAUUUCUUGAUGACCUCAGACCUGAGAUAAGUUUCAUCAAAUAAACUGUAUUAAGGGAAUACAAAUUUUAAGAGAAAUGAAAAACGAUGGGCCUGUCUUAGAUCUUAAGCACAGCUUUUUAAAC